rnacentral:rRNA from 1 species
CCGUUGCCGGCGACCGGCGCACGGGUGAGUAACACGUAUGCAACCUGCCCGUGGCAGGGGGAUAAGCGGGGAAACCCCGUCUAAUACCGCGUAACGCGGCCUUGGGGCAUCCCAAGGCCGCCAAAGGGAGCAAUCCCGGCCACGGAUGGGCAUGCGGCGCAUUAGCUAGUCGGCGGGGUAACGGCCCACCGAGGCGACGAUGCGUAGGGGUUCUGAGAGGAAGGCCCCCCACACUGGUACUGAGACACGGACCAGACUCCUACGGGAGGCAGCAG